rnacentral:misc_RNA from 1 species
AACAUCGCGCACCUGCGGGAACCUGCGGAGGGAUCACUACAGAGUUGCAAAACUCCCUAAACCAUUGUGAACGUUACCUAAACCGUUGCUUCGGCGGGCGGCCCGGGUCCUUCCCGGCGCCCCUCGGCCCUCGCGGGCGCCCGCCGGAGGUAAACCAAACUAUUGCAUUGUAUGGCCUCUCUGAGUCUUCUGUACUGAAUAAGUCAAAACUUUUAACAACGGAUCUCAGAUCGGAAGAGC